rnacentral:rRNA from 1 species
GACGAACGCUGGCGGCGUGCUUAACACAUGCAAGUCGAACGGAAAGGCCCUGCUUUUGUGGGGUGCUCGAGUGGCGAACGGGUGAGUAACACGUGAGUAACCUGCCCUUGACUGUGGGAGAACUUUAGGAAACUGGGGCUAAUACCGGAUAGGAGCUCCUGCUGCAUGGUGGGGGUUGGAAAGUUUCGGCGGUUGGGGAUGGACUCGCGGCUUAUCAGCUUGUUGGUGGGGUAGUGGCUUACCAAGGCUUUGACGGGUAGCCGGCCUGAGAGGGUGACCGGCCACCUUGGGCCUGCGAUACGGCCCAGACUCCUACGGGCGGCAGCAGUGGGGAAUCUUGCACAAUGGGCGGAAGCCUGAUGCAGCAACGCCGCGUGCGGGAUGACGGCCUUCGGGUUGUAAACCGCUUUCGCCUGUGACGAAGCGUGAGUGACGGUAAUGGGUCAAGAAGCACCGGCUAACUACGUG